AUUUAGGAUCCAAUUUCUAGAGUUAGAAUUGGGCAUAAUCAAAUUGGGUUUCUAAACAAAGUGGUGCUGGUUGUAAUUUCGUAAAUCAACUUGCCACAAGAUGAAGUUGUUGCUUCUGAUUUAGGUGUUGAACAUGGAGAUUUGGAUCCCAUAGAGUCUCAAAGAGUUAUUUCAAUUUAUUCUGUGUUAAUUCAGCUCGAUUUGUUUUGUAUCUCGACUGAAUCCAUCUUGAAUUUUUUUACAGGUAUUAAUUCUUGUUUAAGUAGAUUUUUAAUUUAAUUUUGUUAUAUGUUGAUGAUGCUAACCUGUGAAGCAAGGAAUUUUAAUUGCGGCAUCACUUGUACCAGCAGCUUCGAUUCACAUUUCUCAGCAGACAAGCUGAAACAAAAACCAAUGGACUACAUUUAAUAUUGUUGGGUAUGGAUGUACUAUUUGCUCGUCUCACUACAAUUUCCAGCUCAAUUUUUCGUUUUCGGGGUCGCAUCUGUUUGGUGCUCCAGUUCUCGAUCCUUGCAAACUAUAGAGUUUCAUUGGUAAAUUCAGAAGUUUAGAUACAAAUUUCGCUGCACAGACAACACAUAGACAAGGCAGAAAGACGAUGCAAACUCUUAUAACCUUAGCUCAGCAUACUUUUGAACUAUACCCAGAGUACAGGAUUACCAAUGAAGGCUUGAAAAGAUAGAAACAUUGAGGUAGUUAUUUUUUGUCGAACUUGUGGUGUAGUGGUAACACACCUGACUCCACGUCAGAAGAUACGUGUUCGAUUCACGUCAGGUUCAUAAUUUUUGGGAUCAGAUAUAGUUGUUGACACCAUACUUUGGGAUCAACUUUAGUUGUUAUUAACUGGGAUCAACUUCCAUUGUUGACACGAAAAAGUUAGAGUAUUUUCUUUCAGUUACUGUGUCAACAAAGGAAAUUGAUCAAUAUUGGUUGUUGACACCAGAUUUUGGGAUCAACUUUGGUUGUUGACCUGAUUCACUCGAAUCAACUUCCAUUGUUGACCCAAAAGAAUUGGAGUAUUUUUUCAACAUAGGAAAUUGAUCUAACUUUGGUUGUUGACAUCAAAUUUUGGGAUCAACUUUAGUUGUUGACUCCAUUCACUGGGAUCAGCUUUCUUUUUUGAUACACAAAAACUUGAAUAUAUACUAGUAAAAUUAUUUUUGAACUUUAAUUUUGGACACCAAAAUUUGG